rnacentral:lncRNA from 1 species
AACAACAUCGAAGUCACACAGAUUGAAGUAAACAUAGCUCACUUUAUUAAUUUUCACAGCAUAACAAAGGACCAAAGGCAACUAAGGAAAAAAAAACAAAGUUCGACAUCAAGCAACAUGAUGGGGACUGUUUUGAUAUAUAUAGUUUUCAUUCCGUACAUGAAAGGCCAACAUGGAAGCUGAGCAGCAGCCUUGAAUGGAUUAAGGAAGGAUUAACAUAUGAGUCAAUGUUGUCAUUCGUGCAAGGGUACUUCCAACUUCAAAAGGGCUUGCUAUUGUCAACUCUACCCCAAACAACAAUAACAAAUUUCAAAUUUUAGGUGAAUCACUCUUGAAAAUUUGAUGCAUAUUCUACUCCAACAAAAUAAUGAAUUUGAUUUGAAAUUAACCAAGCAACUAGAUUAGAUCAUUUAUGCGAAUGACAUUGAAGACAAUAAAUCAAACAAUUAGUGCACUUCAUACACAUUAUGAAUCCCCUUGAAGAACUAUGUAUUCCACAUUCAUGAUAAUCAUGAAGGCUUUCCAUGACUUCUACUGUUCUUAGAGCAAGGCUGCAAUCUCAUCUUAACUAAAAAUGGAUGUCGGUUGAUCCCUCUCUUGCUGCCCAAAAUUAAGAUGUCAUUCAUAUGACCCUUUCAUUGAUAUUUCCACCUACCUUGGGGGUGUGUGUGUGUGUGUGUGUGUGUGUGAGAGAGAGAGAGAGAGAGAGAGAGAGAGAGGGGAUAUUGAGCGAUAGAGAAAGAGAGAAGGGAAGAGUUCUAGAGAGAGACAGAGUGAGAAUAUUUUCUUAGACCCCCUAUUUCCUGAUUCUGUGGGUUUUGGGAUCACCCUUUUCCACUCAUUUACCCCAUGUUUCUAAUGGGUUCAGAAUCUCUCUUUGCAUUUGAUGAAUCAAAGAAGUAAAAUCAUAAUAAAGCAAGAUAGAGAAACAGUUAGCGCGCCAAACUGCAUAAGAAAGAAUCAAAGAAGUAAAAUCAUAGUCAAGCAAGAUAGAGAAACAGUUAAAGCGCCAAACUGCCUAAGAGGGCAAAAUCAUAGUCAAGAAAUAGACCAUAAAAAUCUGGUUUUUCUAUCUAGAUCAUAUCCCAACAAAUCUGGUUUUUUCUCUAGAUCAUAAUCAAGAAAGAGAGCAAAUUUAUAGUCAAGAAAGACCCAUGAAAACCCCUGAAAUCAGAGAGAGAAACCGUUAAGAGUACCAAAACUGUGUAAGAGAAAAAGCAAAAUUAUACCCAAGAAUGGACAGGAAAAUGACAGUCAAGAUUGAAUACCUGUUUGUCCCUAUAAGUAGUGAGAAUUUGUAUUUCCUUGUUUAGUUGGAAUGAGAAAGAGAGAUCUUGAGAGAGAGAAGUCUCUUGUUCCUGGAAAAGAGAGAGAGAUCUCUUGGAACGGGAAAAGGAAGAGAGAGAGAAAAAUAGGCGUUCUUAGAGUGAGAGAGAGCUCUGUGUUGGGGCAAGGGUAGAGAGAGAGAGAGCGGGACAAUGGAGGGAUGUUUUGUUUACAAGACUGGCGGGAGAGAAUUCCCGUGCAAAUUAUUUUUAAUAAAAAAACAAAACAAAAAGAGGUUCAUUGAAUGAAUAUUUUUU